CCCCAACCCCGUGUUAUGAUGUCAUCGUCCUGAGACAUCCAUGACCAGCUAAAGGAAAUAGUGGCUAGUAAAGAGAGAUCCACGUGACUCAGGGUAAGGAAGAUGGGGGUGGGGGGUGCAAGAUGACAGAGACAAAUCAGGCCUUCCUGUGACUCUGGCCUUCCUCUGAAUUGGGAAGAUUGGAUGCAAGGAACACCUGCUGUAAUCCAGCUAGCCUGCAUUUGUUCAUUCCUCGCACACUGAGUACUUGCUAUGUGCCCAACCUGGCGCUGCGAACACCCAGACCUGAUGGCUUCCUCUAAUGUAGAUCCCGAUAGGUGAGAAAAACAAAAUGGAGAUACAGAAAAACCAUUGCCUGUUCAGUGCUCAGUGAGCUUGGCGGACAUUGUGUGAGCCAGGGAGAGGGGCAGGUAUGAGGAAAAGUGCUGAAAGGCAGAGAAGUAAAGGAGCAGCCGCAAGAGACAUCUCACCUCUACCGAAUCCUCAGAACUCUACAGGUCUGCAAAGAUAAGGGGCCUUUACAGCGCAUGGCAAAUGAGGGGACCCCAGACACUUGGAGCUGUCCUGAAAAGAUUGUCCUGGACUUUGGCUUCCUUGAUCUCAGAGGUCCUGCUGUCUGAUCCUUCUCCAGAUGGUCUCUGCUCUGAAGUCCCAAGAUGAC
rnacentral:lncRNA from 1 species